rnacentral:rRNA from 1 species
GAUGAACGCUGGCGGCGUGCUUAACACAUGCCAGUCGAACGGAAAGGCCCAAGCUUGCUUGGGUACUCGAGUGGCGAACGGGUGAGUAACACGUGGGUGAUCUGCCCUGCACUUCGGGAUAAGCCUGGGAAACUGGGUCUAAUACCGGAUAGGACCACUUCUUGGAUGUUGUGGUGGAAAGUUUUUCGGUGUGGGAUGAGCUCGCGGCCUAUCAGCUUGUUGGUGGGGUAAUGGCCUACCAAGGCGUCGACGGGUAGCCGGCCUGAGAGGGUGUACGGCCACAUUGGGACUGAGAUACGGCCCAGACUCCUACGGGAGGCAGCAGUGGGGAAUAUUGCACAAUGGGCGCAAGCCUGAUGCAGCGACGCCGCGUGGGGGAUGACGGCCUUCGGGUUGUAAACUCCUUUCGCUAGGGACGAAGCUUAUUUUGUGACGGUACCUGGAGAAGAAGCACCGGCUAACUACGUG